UUUUCAAAAAGGUGGGGGUGGGGGGAGGGUGUGCAAAAACUAACUGAAAUUUUGAAACAGCAGCAGAGUGAGUGAAUUUUAAUUUUUGUUCAUUGUUGGAGGUUAAAAAGGAAAAUCCCCCCUAUGUAAUU